CGUUAACCGCUCGCUCAAUGCUGGGCGUCCGAUCCCCAACGGAUCUCCUCACGACAACGACGUUGUCCUCGGCGAUCGUGCACAGCGACGGCGUCCACUCGGCAUAAGGCAAGGCCGAAGCCGCCGACCCUACCGGCCUCCCGCUCUUCCGCCGCGGCAGCCGCUGUGCUGUCGGUGCCAACCCAAGUUCCGACCUCGUCUGUCUAACAGCAACAACGCGCUGAUUUGAAAAUCCUCGCCCUGCUGGCCCCCGCCGCUGGGGAGAUGUAGACGACAUCCCUCCGCGCGAGGGGGAUGAAGACGACACUUUCCUGCGCGCGUUUCCGCGUGCGGGAGACGAAGACGACACUCUUCCGCGCGAGGGAGAUAUCUUCUUUCCUGGCGCGGAAGGCGACAUAGAAGGAGAAGAACUGGGUCGCGUCGCUCGAGCGGUCAACGUGACUCCGCAACAUGAAAUCAAGAAGAACUUCAUGCUCAUGUACGUACGACCGGCAGUUACGUGCGCAGGAAGUCACGUAACUGCGAUGGAUUUUGGACCUGGGAUUCUGAGAACGGGACGGCGUUGAAAAAGCGGGCCUCCAGGAAUCGAGCUUAAUUAGGCUCCCGC
rnacentral:lncRNA from 1 species